UAACCCUACAGUACCAAGAGGUCCGAUACUAUACAAUACUAACCCUACAGUACCAAGAGGUCCGAUACUAUACAAUACUAACCCUACAGUACCAAGAGACCAGAGGUCCGUUACUAUACAAUACUAACCCUACAGUACCAAGAGGUCUGAUACUAUACAAUACUAACCCUACAGUACCAAGAGGUCCGUUACUAUACAAUACUAACCCUACAGUACCAAGAGGUCUGAUACUAUACAAUACUAACCCUACAGUACCAAGAGGUCCGAUACUAUACAAUACUAACCCUAUAGUACCAAGAGACCAGAGGUCUGAUACUAUACAAUACUAACCCUACAGUACCAAGAGGUCCGAUACUAUACAAUACUAACCCUACAGUACCAAGAGGUCCGAUACUAUACAAUACUAACCCUACAGUACCAAGAGGUCCGAUACUAUACAAUACUAACCCUACAGUACCAAGAGGUCCGUUACUAUACAAUACUAACCCUACAGUACCAAGAGGUCUGAUACUAUACAAUACUAACCCUACAGUACCAAGAGGUCCGUUACUAUACAAUACUAACCCUACAGUACCAAGAGGUCCGAUACUAUACAAUACUAACCCUACAGUACCAAGAGGUCCGAUACUAUACAAUACUAACCCUACAGUACCAAGAGGUCCGUUACUAUACAAUACUAACCCUACAGUACCAAGAGGUCUGAUACUAUACAAUACUAACCCUACAGUACCAAGAGGUCCGUUACUAUACAAUACUAACCCUACAGUACCAAGAGGUCUGAUACUAUACAAUACUAACCCUACAGUACCAAGAGGUCCGAUACUAUACAAUACUAACCCUAUAGUACCAAGAGACCAGAGGUCUGAUACUAUACAAUACUAACCCUACAGUACCAAGAGGUCCGAUACUAUACAAUACUAACCCUACAGUACCAAGAGGUCCGUUACUAUACAAUACUAACCCUACAGUACCAAGAGGUCCGAUACUAUACAAUACUAACCCUACAGUACCAAGAGGUCCGUUACUAUACAAUACUAACCCUACAGUACCAAGAGGUCCGAUACUAUACAAUACUAACCCUACAGUACCAAGAGGUCCGAUACUAUACAAUACUAACCCUACAGUACCAAGAGACCAGAGGUCCGUUACUAUACAAUACUAACCCUACAGUACCAAGAGGUCUGAUACUAUACAAUACUAACCCUACAGUACCAAGAGGUCUGAUACUAUACAAUACUAACCCUACAGUACCAAGAGGUCCGUUACUAUACAAUACUAACCCUACAACCCUAAGUUCAAUGUCAGCGCCAUCUAAUUUGCAUAAUUAAACAAAAAAAUCCCCAUUAAAAAUCUGUCAGAUAGAGAGAUAUUUAUCGUUGUUAUAAAUCUGUCAGUUUGAGAUUGAGAUAUAUUUAAAUAUCUAAGGUUACUUACAUUUAUCCAACUAUAAUUCUAUCCCAUGGUCUUGCUCUCCCUUCCAUCUUCUCUGCCCCCCCUCCUCCCCCUUCUCACACAACCCUGUUCUCUGUCCUGAUCACAUGUAAAUGGCAGAUACUGAAUGACCUGUGGAGCUCUGAGGUUCCGGAACAUUGGAGCUCUGAGGUUCCGGAACAUUGGAGCUCUGAGGUUCCGGAACAUUGGAGCUCUGAGGUUCCGGAACAUUGGAGCUCUGAGGUUCCGGAACAUUGGAGCUCUGAGGUUCCGGAACAUUGGAGCUCUGAGGUUCCGGAACAUUGGAGCUCUGAGGUUCCGGAACAUUGGAGCUCUGAGGUUCCGGAACAUACUUUCAAGAAAAAAUUAUUUUUAGUUUGACCUGAUCACAGAGUUGGGGGAAGAGUGCUCUAGUUUGCUCCGGCUCAAAUUAAGCACUGAUCUAAUCUAUGUCCUUCCCCCUCUCUCUCUGUCCUCCUCCUAUCUCUCCUCCUCCUCCUCCCUAAUCUCCUCCUC